rnacentral:misc_RNA from 1 species
GGAAACUUAUGAAGCAAAUGAUGAAUUGAUCGAUUUUUUUUGUACUUUUUGCUGGAAAAAUGGCAGGAAAUCGUGGAAUUAGGUUUCGGUAUAUGUUUCAUCUAUGGCCGGAACUGCCAAGAGACACCAUACCGGAGAGGAAGGAGGAGCAGGAAGCUCCGAUGACGUUUUUGAGCCGUCAAUAGAUAAAUUUCCAGUCGAUGUAAUAAGUUGUAUAUUGGAAAAACUGGAUUUGGAAUCUGUCUGCAGCGCCGCUUGUGUCUCUCAGAC